GUGGGGAAUUUUGCACAAUGGAGGAAACUCUGAUGCAGCGACGCCGCGUGAUUUAGAAGGUCUUCGGAUCGUAAGAAUCUUUUCUACGGGAUGAAAAUGACAGUACCGUAUGAAUAAGGUCCGGCUAAUUACGUGCCAGCAGCCGCGGUAAUACGUAAGGACCAAGCGUUGUCCGGAAUCAUUGGGCGUAAAGGGUACGUAGGCUGCCUAGUAAGUUAGAAGUGAAAGCAUAUAGCUUAACUAUAUAAAGCUUUUAAAACUGCUAGGCUUGAGAGAUGAAAGGGAAAGUGGAAUUCCUAGUGUAGCGGUGAAAUGCGCAGAUAUUAGGAAGAAUACCGGUGGCGAAGGCGACUUUCUGGUCAUCCUCUGACGCUGAGGUACGAAAGCGUGGGUAGCAAACAGGAUUAGAUACCCCAGUAGUCC
rnacentral:rRNA from 1 species